CGCGGGAUGGAGCAGCCUGGUAGCUCGUCGGGCUCAUAACCCGAAGGUCGUCGGUUCAAAUCCGACUCCCGCAA
rnacentral:tRNA from 1 species